UACAGAGGUCUCAAGCGUUUGUUCGGAUUCAUUGGGCGUAAAGGGUGCGUAGGCGGUGCGCUAAGUCGGGGUGUGAAAUUUCGGAGCUUAACUCCGAAACUGCAUUCGAUACUGGCGUGCUUGAGGACUGGAGAGGAGACUGGAAUUCAUGGUGUAGCAGUGAAAUGCGUAGAGAUCAUGAGGAAGACCAGUGGCGAAGGCGGGUCUCUGGACAGUUCCUGACACUGAGACACGAAGGCCAGGGGAGCAAACGGG
rnacentral:rRNA from 1 species